rnacentral:rRNA from 1 species
UACGUAGGGGGCAAGCGUUGUCCGGAUUUAUUGGGCGUAAAGAGCGUGUAGGCGGCCAAGCAGGUCCGCUGUGAAAACUCGAGGCUCAACCUCGAGACGUCGAUGGAAACCAUCUAGCUAGAGUCCGGAAGAGGAGAGUGGAAUUCCUGGUGUAGCGGUGAAAUGCGCAGAUAUCAGGAAGAACACCUAUGGCGAAAGCAGCUCUCUGGGACGGUACUGACGCUGAGACGCGAAAGCGUGGGGAGCGAACAGG